rnacentral:rRNA from 1 species
CCUACGGGCGGCUGCAGUGAGGAAUAUUGGACAAUGGAUGGAAAUCUGAUCCAGCCAUGCCGCGUGCAGGAAGACGGCCCUAUGGGUUGUAAACUGCUUUUGUAUGGGAGCAAUAAGGUCUAUGCGUAGACUGAUGAGAGUACCAUACGAAUAAGCAUCGGCUAACUCCGUGCCAGCAGCCGCGGUAAUACGGGGGAUGCAAGCGUUAUCCGGAUUUAUUGGGUUUAAAGGGUGCGUAGGCGGUUUGAUAAGUCAGCGGUGAAAUAUUUCAGCUUAACUGAAAGGGUGCCGUUGAUACUGUCAGGCUUGAAUAUGGUUGCUGUGGGUGGAAUGUGUGGUGUAGCGGUGAAAUGCUUAGAUAUCACACAGAAUAUCGAUUGCGAAGGCAGCUCACAAAGCCAUUAUUGACGCUGAUGCACGAAAGUGUGGGGAUCAAACAGGAUUAGAUACCCCGGUAGUC